rnacentral:rRNA from 2 species
AAAGAGCUUCAAAACUAACGCCUAAGGAGUAAGACUUUAAAGUGAAAACUUAAAGGACAUGGCGGCUUAAUCAAAUCAGGGGAACUUACUUCAUAAAUGAUAACCCUCAAGUUAAUCCACCUCCAGAUAAAGCUUAUAUACCGCCGUCUAGUGUCUAAUUAAGUUAGGCCCGCCAAAAAGCGUUUCUCAAGUCAGGUUAUGGUGUAGCCAAUAAGGAGGAGACUAGCGAGUUACAAUAAAAUUUUUUUUCGGAUUUCUUAAAGUAAAUGAGAAGAAAGAUGGACUUGAAAGUAAAAAGCAAUAAAAUUAAAUUUUGAAUUAUAAGUUUAAGUGU